rnacentral:rRNA from 1 species
CGCGUAGGCGGCUGACUUAGUCGAGGGUGAAAGCCCGUGGCUCAACCACGGAAUGGCCUUCGAUACUGGUUGGCUUGAGACCGGAAGAGGACAGCGGAACUGCGAGUGUAGAGGUGAAAUUCGUAGAUAUUCGCAAGAACACCAGUGGCGAAGGCGGCUGUCUGGUCCGGUUCUGACGCUGAGGCGCGAAAGCGUGGGGAGCAAACAGGAUUAGAUACCCUGGUAGUCCACGCUGUAAACGAUGAAUGCUAGCCGUUGGGGUGCAUGCACCUCAGUGGCGCCGCUAACGCAUUAAGCAUUCCGCCUGGGGAGUACGGUCGCAAGAUUAAA